rnacentral:snoRNA from 1 species
CCCCUCUCAGGGUCGCAGCUGGGGAGUUUCCAGUACUCUACCAGUCUCGACUACAGGAUGGAGAAUCAAGCAGAGACAUACCCCUUCCAUUCCUAGCUUGGGCAGUGGCUAGUGAGUGGAAGGCACUCUGCUACAAGU